rnacentral:pre_miRNA from 1 species
CCUGGGCCCUUCUCUCCGUGUUCACAGCGGACCUUGAUUUAAUGUCCAUACAAUUAAGGCACGCGGUGAAUGCCAAGAGACCGGUUCCCCU